rnacentral:rRNA from 1 species
UACAGAGGUGGCAAGCGUUGUUCGGAAUUACUGGGCGUAAAGGGCUCGUAGGCGGCCAACUAAGUCGGACGUGAAAUCCCCAGGCUCAACCUGGGAACUGCGUCCGAUACUGGAUGGCUUGAAUUCGGGAGAGGGAUGCAGAAUUCCAGGUGUAGCGGUGAAAUGCGUAGAUAUCUGGAGGAACACCGAUGGCGAAGGCAAUCCCCUGGGCCUGCACUGACGCUCAUGCACGAAAGCGUGGGGAGCAAACAGG